rfam:Gossypium raimondii Chr05_contig_37, whole genome shotgun sequence.
UAUUAAGAAUUUCAUCUAUUUGUUCAAUUAAAACUAGCAAGACUAACAGAAUAACCGGAUAAUGAUACUUGAUGUUCCAUGCAUAUCUUAUGCUGAUAUACAAGGGCUAGUUUUUAACAAUACGCAUGGAUGAAAUUUUUAAUA